GACGAACGCUGGCGGCGUGCUUAACACAUGCAAGUCGAACGGAAGGGCCCUGCUUUUGUGGGGUGCUCGAGUGGCGAACGGGUGAGUAACACGUGAGUAACCUGCCCUUGACUUUGGGAUAACUUCAGGAAACUGGGGCUAAUACCGGAUAGGAGCUCCUGCGGCAUGGUGGGGGUUGGAAAGUUUCGGCGGUUGGGGAUGGACUCGCGGCUUAUCAGCUUGUUGGUGGGGUAGUGGCUUACCAAGGCUUUGACGGGUAGCCGGCCUGAGAGGGUGACCGGCCACAUUGGGACUGAGAUACGGCCCAGACUCCUACGGGAGGCAGCAGUGGGGAAUAUUGCACAAUGGGCGGAAGCCUGAUGCAGCAACGCCGCGUGCGGGAUGACGGCCUUCGGGUUGUAAACCGCUUUCGCCUGUGACGAAGCGUGAGUGACGGUAAUGGGUAAAGAAGCACCGGCUAACUACGUG
rnacentral:rRNA from 1 species